rnacentral:rRNA from 1 species
GGCGUGCUUAACACAUUCAAGUCGAACGAUGACGGCCGUGCUUGCACGGUCUGAUUAGUGGCGAACGGGUGAGUAACACGUGAGUAACCUGCCCUCCACUUCGGGAUAACCUCGGGAAAUCGUGGCUAAUACCGGAUAUGAGCACUCAUCGCAUGGUGGGUGUUGGAAAGAUUUAUCGGUGGGGGAUGGACUCGCGGCCUAUCAGUUUGUUGGUGAGGUGAUGGCUCACCAAGACGAUGACGGGUAGCCGGCCUGAGAGGGCGACCGGCCACACUGGGACUGAGACACGGCCCAGACUCCUACGGGAGGCAGCAGUGGGGAAUAUUGCACAAUGGGCGGAAGCCUGAUGCAGCGACGCCGCGUGAGGGAUGACGGCCUUCGGGUUGUAAACCUCUUUCAGUAGGGAAGAAGCGAAAGUGACGGUACCUGCAGAAGAAGCGCCGGCUAACUACGUGCCAGCAGCCGCGGUAAUACGUAGGGCGCAAGCGUUGUCCGGAAUUAUUGGGCGUAAAGAGCUUGUAGGUGGCUUGUCGCGUCUGCCGUGAAAACCCGAGGCUCAACCUCGGGCGUGCGGUGGGUACGGGCAGGCUAGAGUGUGGUAGGGGA